UACGAAGGGGGCUAGCGUUGUUCGGAAUCACUGGGCGUAAAGCGCACGUAGGCGGAUUGUUAAGUCGGGGGUGAAAUCCUGGAGCUCAACUCCAGAACUGCCUUUGAUACUGAGAAGCUUGAGUCCGGGAGAGGUGAGUGGAACUGCGAGUGUAGAGGUGAAAUUCGUAGAUAUUCGCAAGAACACCAGUGGCGAAGGCGGCUCACUGGCCCGGUACUGACGCUGAGGUGCGAAAGCGUGGGGAGCAAACAGG
rnacentral:rRNA from 1 species